CAUAUUCGUUUUUGGUAGUAUACAUAUAAGCUAUAAAAUCACUGUUAAAAGUAGUGAUGUGAAAAAACAUCGAUGCAUCGACAAUCGAUGUUUUUUUGGCGAUGUUUUCCGAUGUUUUCCGAUGUUUUUAUUGAUACCGAUGUUAAGCGAUGCAUCGAUGUUUGACAGAACAUCGGGCGUUAAAUUUCACAACAUUGCAGAACAUAUGGAUACACUGCCACAUAGAAAAAUUCGCGAAUUUGUUUCUUUUUUUUACCCUGUGUUUGCAAUGCCAAAAAUAACAACAAAGACAAGCUUUUGCUGGAGGCACUUUACAAAAUUGAUGGAAAUAGCGCGAAAUGCAACAUUUGCAACAAAGUUUUGAAGAUUGCGGGUAACACGACCAACAUGAAGGACCACCUGCGGUCCAUUCAUAAAAUAGAACAAAAUGUUGAAGAAAUGUUGUUUAAGAAUUGAAUUAACGAAAAAUAACGGAAUUGGUAGAAAACAUCGAUACAUCGAUGUUUAUAGCCGAUGUUUUACACAACAUCGAUUUAUCAUUUUGCAAACAUCGAUGAACAUCGACAUCGAAUUUUCGACCCAAAUUUACAUCACUAGUUAAAAGACACAGUAGGUUGCGCAAAGAGCAGUCCCGUUACUUUUAAUGUUAACUAACAGCUCUCUUGUGACGUCACAUUAUCAGAUUUUGCUAUGUUAUCCCGGCUGAAACUUGGAAGGCAUUUCAGCAGAGAUCGACUAAGUCGUCCAAAACAACCAAAAUUAACUAUAUAUAAAAAAUUUCAAUAGUAAAUA